rnacentral:ncRNA from 1 species
ACGAGUAAGGGCGUAGCAAGCGAUGAAAUGCUUCGGGGAGUUGAAAAUAAGCAUAGAUUCAGAGAUUCCCGAAUAGGUCAACCUUUCGAACUGCCCAUGGGCAGGCAAGAUACAACCUGGCGAACUGAAACAUCUUAGUAUCUAGAGGAAAAGAAAGCAAAAGCGAUUCCUGUAGUAGCGGCGAGCGAAAUGGGAGCAGCCUAAACCAUGAAAAGGGGGUUGUGGGAGACCAAUAUAAGCGUCGUGCUGCUAGGCGAAGCGGUUGAGUGUUCUGGAUCGAUUUUGCCUACACCUAAAUUGAAAGUUAAGAA